rnacentral:rRNA from 1 species
GUGGGGAAUUUUGGACAAUGGGCGCAAGCCUGAUCCAGCAAUGCCGCGUGCAGGAAGAAGGCCUUCGGGUUGUAAACUGCUUUUGUACGGAACGAAAAGGCUCUGGUUAAUACCUGGGGCUCAUGACGGUACCGUAAGAAUAAGCACCGGCUAACUACGUGCCAGCAGCCGCGGUAAUACGUAGGGUGCAAGCGUUAAUCGGAAUUACUGGGCGUAUAGCGUGCGCAGGCGGUUUUGUAAGACAGACGUGAAAUCCCCGGGCUCAACCUGGGAGUGGCGUUUGCGACUGCAAAGCUGGAGUGCGGCAGAGGGGGAUGGAAUUCCGCGUGUAGCAGUGAAAUGCGUAGAUAUGCGGAGGAACACCGAUGGCGAAGGCAAUCCCCUGGGCCUGCACUGACGCUCAUGCACGAAAGCGUGGGGAGCAAACAGGAUUAGAUACCCGGGUAGUCC